UGGUAGCCAUGCCUGUAUCCCUUUCUCACU
rnacentral:piRNA from 1 species